rnacentral:rRNA from 1 species
CUGAGAGGACGAUCAGGCAACACUGGAACUCGAGACACGGUCCAGACACCUACGGGUGGCAGCAGUCGAGAAUCAUUCACGAAUGGGGGAAACCCUGAUGGUGCAACGCCGCGUGUGGGAUGAAGGCCUUAGGGUCGUAAACCACUGUCAUGUGAGAGUAAGGCAUUACGUUAGUUAAUACCUGGUAUGUUUGAUAGUAUCACGAAGAGGAAGGACGGCUAACUUCGUGCCAGCAGCCGCGGUAA